rnacentral:rRNA from 1 species
AACGAACGCUGGCGGCAUGCCUAACACAUGCAAGUCGAACGAGACCUUCGGGUCUAGUGGCGCACGGGGGCGUAACGCGGGGGAACCGGCCCUUAGGUUCGGAAUAACUCCCCGAAAGGGGUGCUAAUACCGGAUAAUUUAUGCGGACCCAAGAUUUAUCGCCUUUGGAUGGGCCCGCGUUGGAUUAGCUAGUUGGUAGGGUAAAAGCCUACCAAGGCGACGAUCCAUAGCUGGUCUGAGAGGAUGAUCAGCCACACUGGGAGUGAGACGCGGCCCAGACUCCUGCGGGAGGCAGCAGUGGGGGAUAUUGGACAAUGGGCGAAAGCCUGAUCCAGCAAUGCCGCGUGAGUGAUGAAGGCCUUAGGGUUGUAAAGCUCUUUUACCCGGGAUGAUAAUGACAGUACCGGGAGAAUAAGCUCCGGCUAACUCCGUG